rnacentral:SRP_RNA from 2 species
GCUGGGUAUGGUGGCGUGCGCUUGUAAUCCCAGCUACUAGGGAGGCUGAGACAGGAGAAUCGCUUGAACCCAGGAGGCGGAGGUUGCAGUGAGCUGAGACCACUCCACUGCACUUCAGCCUGGGUGACAGAGCGAGAUUCUGUCUCAA